GUUUUUUUCUUCUUUCGGAGGCGGCACAAACAACUACUUGAAAACUACCAGCGACUUUGAUCAAGAAGAGGGGCUGGCGUGGCUGACGGGGCAGUCAUGGCAAGGCAGGCUUCUCCCGGGUUUGCCUUCCAGCGGUACGAGCCCAUCAUGGGGAAGGCAGACCCACAGCCCGGGAGGUGCGGGGCGCCCGCCGGCAUAACCUUCGCGGCAACUCAGGCACCGCGUUGAAAAUCUGUGUGUGCUGUUUUAGGAGUAUCCCCCUCACGCCGUUUCCCCAGAAUAUCGACUGUUAACGCUUGUGUGAAAGGAGAACAAGGCUGGAGGCGGGGGAGCCUGCCUAGUAUUACUGAGGCCAUGGUGGGAGGAUGGCAGAGAUGGCAGACGGGUCAGGCUACCAGCCAACACAGGGACCAUGAGACAGGAGCAAGCAGACUGAGUGACAUGCCGGUUGAGAGAUUUGGCACAGCAAAAGAGUGAAAGCCUAUUAAUUACCGAACUCACAGCACCAGCAGAAGCGACUGCCCAUUCUCCUGUUCUUCAGUCCCAUUUGGCUGAUGGAAAAUCUGGGUAAAAUGUGGUGAGUACACUCUGCGAUACAGCAUGGGAAUCUGCCUUUCUCCAGGCUCUUUGGCAUUGGGCCUGGCUCUUAAAAGAAGGGCAAAGGGGGUAUUUCUAGUGUGCAUUGUAAUCCCCACAACCGUGGUGCUAUGCUCAUUUUUUAGGCAAAGGGCAUUAGUUUGGAGAGGGGCUGUGUGAGUAUUUGCCAAGCUCAUAAAAUGUCUGUGAGACUGGCAUGUUCAACCCCACCCCUAGACGGCUUUUAACCCUUUCAUUUCUAUAUAGCUUCAUCUCUGUUUAGAUGGGCCUCUUUAACAUAUUUCCUAAGAAAAUGUAAACAUUUAGGUGACAAAAUCCUUGACAAAAAAUAGUUUAGGCCUUUAAAAAUAUUCACCAGAACAAUUUCACAUUAAUGCUUUUGUACAGUCUU